GAGAGGGGCGCGGUGGGUGCGAGGUUGGUACGAGAGAAGAGCGGUGGGCUACAGACGUGAGGCUCGUACGGGAGAGGGGUGCGGUAGGCGCGAGGCUGGUACGAGAGAAGAGCGGUGGGAGAUGCGAGGUCUGGAGCUGUGUAGCUGUGAUGUCUAACUACUCAAUCAUAAAGGGACAGGAAAUCAUUAGUUCAAACCCAGGUGACCCCUCCAUGGUCAGGAGUCUGACAGCCAGUUGAGUGGUGGUAAUCUGGGUGUUGGGCUGUGAGGAAGGGAAACAUCAGAAGAGUUCCUCUGAUCUUCGUGACGGGGCGUCCGUGUCUUUCUCUGCAGCUCCUCUCUGUGACAGUAGUCAUUAAAAGUCAUUAAUCUUGCUUUGAUACUUUACCGUUUCCCACAGGCUACAUGCUCUCUCUCUCUGCCACUGCUCUCUCGCUCGCUCUCUUUUUCUCCCCUCUGAGAGGGAAUUGCAUUAAAUUGGUAUUUGUUCCAAAUCA